AUGGCUCUGAUGGGCGGUUUUGCUAGAAUAGGCAAUAAUGAGAUCACUAUUUUAGUAAAUGAUGCAGAAAGGGGUAGUGACAUUAAUCCACAAGAAGCACAACAAACUCUUCAAAUAGCAGAAGCUAACUUGAAUAAGGCUGAAGGCAAGAGACAAACAAUUGAAGCAAAUCUAGCUCUCCGGCGAGCUAGGACACGAGUAGAGGCUAUCAAUAUGAUCUCAUAA